UCUUGCACAAAAAAAUAGCCGUUUAAAUUAAGAAUCACUUAUUUUCAAAUGCAACAUAAAACAACUGUUAACUUACCUAGGGCUAGUGCUACUACCAUCAAUAAUAAAACUAAAACUACUAGUAAAUUAAAGUACUGACCGAUGAUCCUCCUAUUAAUACUGCUAUAAUUGUUUUUAUCAGAAUCCAAAUACGAUCACUAGAUGAAAAAGUUUUGGUGCAGUCAGCCAGUUGCUGCAAUGUUCUUUUUCUGCAGUGUAUCUUUAUCACUACCAAUAGUCUUUUUCAGUGGAGGGCACCAUGCAAGGAUUGAGUGGUACUCUAUGUGGAACCAUAGUUCAAAUUUCAAAAUAUGAGAGGUUGGAGAUAGGGAAAUAUAAACAAGAUCCACUUCAGUACUUGAUGAGUGACAGCACCAUUCUUUGGCAUCAUCCUCUCUCACGAAUCCCAUCUUGCAACCAUUAGCGGCCCUUUUUUUCUCCUCUCCUCUCCUCUCCAAUGCCCAUCACAUCUCGAGUGCCCCACAAAUAAGAGCUGUUCUUGGCAGCUCCAUUUGCCAUUUGCAAUAUGUAGGGUAUCUAGCAUUCUCCUUUCCCAUUGCAUUGGCAAUUUCAGUUGUUGUCCAUCUCUCCCCCUUCUUCCCCACCCUAUCAUUCUACUCUCCACUUCUUUCAUAACUUUUCAUUGUCUCAAGUAGUAGGGCACCUAGAAGAAAGAAAGAUCACUUUCUCAGACUCAAACAAUACAAUGAAACAUUUGCUAGUUUUCAAUACUAGAGUACAUUCACUCAUGUAAUAGCAAAGAUUUGAGGGACCAUGGAAGUGUCCAGCUUAGAGAGGUGGUCCUAUCAAUUGCUUCAAACCUUUAGCUAGAUAUGAUACAAGUACAAAUGUGCCCAUGAAGGCUUGAUUACACCAUGACCUAUUAAUAGCUUGCAAAUUCUCAUCGCAUCCUUACU
rnacentral:lncRNA from 1 species